rnacentral:ncRNA from 2 species
AUCUGGAGAGAGACGGCGCGGCCAGCGUGGUCGUGACGUCCACCGAAGGGGAUAGUCCGCAUAGACCUCGUGAGGGUCCGCCCUUGUCAGGUCCGCGCCGGAUCAAGCUCUCAGGUAACCGUGACAGAU